rnacentral:rRNA from 1 species
CAAGCCCUGGAAACGGGGUCUAAUACCGGAUAUGACAUCCUCCCGCAUGGGAAGGGUGUGGAAAGCUCCGGCGGUGCAGGAUGAGCCCGCGGCCUAUCAGCUUGUUGGUGGGGUGAUGGCCUACCAAGGCGACGACGGGUAGCCGGCCUGAGAGGGCGACCGGCCACACUGGGACUGAGACACGGCCCAGACUCCUACGGGAGGCAGCAGUGGGGAAUAUUGCACAAUGGGCGAAAGCCUGAUGCAGCGACGCCGCGUGAGGGAUGACGGCCUUCGGGUUGUAAACCUCUUUCAGCAGGGAAGAAGCGAAAGUGACGGUACCUGCAGAAGAAGCACCGGCUAACUACGUGCCAGCAGCCGCGGUAAUACGUAGGGUGCGAGCGUUGUCCGGAAUUAUUGGGCGUAAAGAGCUCGUAGGCGGCCUGUCACGUCGGAUGUGAAAGCCCGGGGCUUAACCCCGGGUCUGCAUUCGAUACGGGCAGGCUAGAGUUCGGUAGGGGAGAUCGGAAUUCCUGGU